rnacentral:rRNA from 1 species
GACGAACGCUGGCGGCGUGCCUAAUACAUGCAAGUCGAACGCUUCUUUCCUCCCGAGUGCUUGCACUCAAUUGGAAAGAGGAGUGGCGGACGGGUGAGUAACACGUGGGUAACCUACCCAUCAGAGGGGGAUAACACCUGGAAACAGGUGCUAAUACCGCAUAACAGUUUAUGCCGCAUGGCAUAAGGGUGAAAGGCGCUUUCGGGUGUCGCUGACGGAUGGACCCGCGGUGCAUUAGCUAGUUGGUGAGGUAACGGCUCACCAAGGCCACGAUGCAUAGCCGACCUGAGAGGGUGAUCGGCCACACUGGGACUGAGACACGGCCCAGACUCCUACGGGAGGCAGCAGUAGGGAAUCUUCGGCAAUGGACGAAAGUCUGACCGAGCAACGCCGCGUGAGUGAAGAAGGUUUUCGGAUCGUAAAACUCUGUUGUUAGAGAAGAACAAGGACGUUAGUAAC